UAAUGUAUUUGUUGUAAUAUCGCUGUUGGUUACGGUUACAAUUAUUUUUGUCUUUUUUGACAAACUGCACAUUUAACUGCGAUUUUUAAAUAUGAAAAAAUAACAAGCGUUUCUAACUUACUCUCAAAGUAGGUGGUAACAGUGGUAACACAACGUAGCAUAAAGCAACAUACAAUAGUUUAAUCGAUCACCCCUUCCUUUCUCUGGCCAUAUCUUACAGCUUAGUUGCAGCACCGCACAACAGCUAAAGGCAGCCAACAGAGGGCGCCCUUUCAUCAAAGUAUAAGGCCGAACGUUGACUGAAGUCAAGCCACAAGCUCUGAAGAUGUACGGCUGCUUAUACUUGGACUAGUCUUGAGGAAGAGUUCUGAAGAAGAUGUAGCAGACUUUCAUCCCAUCCCAACAACACACUGGGUAAUAUCAAUCACAGCACUCUAAACACUCCACGGGCCGGACUUCAUGUUAAUAUCAAUAAGGAUUUUCACAGGGCACAAGUCAACCAGCAGGGGAACCAAGAAGUUACUUUCCCCCCCGGAUGCCGAUACACCAUCCCCCGUCCUCACUCCCCCAACAUCCCCUCAGGACAUGCCCUCCAGGGUCAUCCCAACCCCCCACACUGACCCCAGUGCCUCCUGCAGCACAAGGAAUAGCAGACAUAAUGAGCAAUGAGCUAAUUGUGUGUGUGUGUGUGUGUGUUUAGGCUGAAACUGACAUAGGUUUGUUUUAGGAUGAUGGACUGAGGACACAACCUGGGACAUAAUGUGAAUGAAAUCAUUACCCUUCAUCUCAUCAUCAUCUCCCCUUUUAGCAGCAAGUUAUUGAUGGUUUGUGUCUUCUGACCAUUGUCAUAACUCUGUUAAAGUUGAAAUCUGAACCAUUAAAGUUACACAUUAAUGUGAGGUUCCUCUCAUUUUUAUCGCAAGGUUUUAAGGCUGUCCAUCGUCUAUGUCCCAUGAUUAGGUGGUCAAGUUUUCAGCUCUGAAUGUACCUCUGUACACAUUCAUUCUUACAUUCCUACCCACUAAUAAUAAUAAUGAGAAUCAGAUCAGUGGUAUGUACUAGA